AUGCGGGCUUGGAAAGUUAUCAAUUGUGCUUUGCCAAAUAACCUUGGACGUAGGGUCUUGAUUACAACUUGCAUCAUGGAUGUAGGGAAAUCUUGUUCAAUAUAUCGUAACGAUCUUAUCUACGAGAUGGAGGCACUUAGCAAGAAGAGUUCUGAAAUCUUAUUUCUUAGAAGCAUAGGUCGUCGAGGAGAAAGAGUGUCAGAUUUUGCAGAAGUUUGUGGUAACAUGUUGUUGGAUAUGUGUGAUGGCAUGCCGUUGGCCAUAAUUGUUGCAGCCAACUUAUUAGCCAGGAAAUCUGAAGAAAUAACAGAGCUGAAGAUGCUUGGGAAAUCUAUUAUAUCAUCAACGAAGCAAUAUCCCCCCACUAAAGGAAUGACAAAGAUACUGCACAUGAGUUUUGCUGAUCUAUCUCUUCCUUUGAGGUCUUGUUUUCUGUAUCUUGGUCUUAUUCCACAAGAUUAUACCAUAAAAAAAGAUCGUUUAAUACGGUUAUGGGGAGCUGAAGGAUUUAUCCCAAGAACAAAUAGAGAAUGCUUGUGGGCAACAGGGGAGAGGUUCUUCAAUGAGCUUAUAAGUAGAAGACUGAUUCAACCGGUGUUUGACUACACUGAUGACCAAGCAUUUGGAUGUACCAUUCAUGGUGUGAUUCUUGAUUUCAUCAGAUCCAUGUCCAGAGAAGAGAACUUUGCUACAAGGGCUGCAGAAUUAUGUUUUGGUCCAUUUCCGUGUGACACCAUUCGGCGGUUAUCGCUCGACAGUAGUAAUGAAGACGAAGUUGUCACCUUCUCUGCAAGGACCCCGCACUUAUCAAGGAUGCGAUCACUCAUAUUUUUCGAAGAUGUUAAUGAUGAAGAGGAGAUGCAUGUUCCACUGUCCAUAAGAGCUUCUGUGGAUAUUCUUUGGGGCUUCAAACUUCUGCAGGUGCUAGAUCUAGAAGAUAGAAAGGGGUUAGAAGAUCACCAUCUGGCAGGCAUUGGAGAAUUGGUCCUACUGAGAUACCUGGGACUGGCAGGGACUGGUAUCAGGGGGUUACCAGAGGAGAUCGGAGAACUGGAGCAGCUAGAGACCCUAGAUUUGAGGCGGAACUGGUACUUUGGGACGACUUUACCUGCAUCUAUAUUUAAAUUGCAAAAGUUGAAGCAUCUGCUGCUUUUCCUGCUUGAUGUAGACGUCAAGAGAAUUAGGGUGAUGCAUGAAUUAGAAGAAGCAAACAGUUUUGCCGACGGAAGCAACUCACUUCGUAUGGUGGCACAACUGCUGAGGGAGUCUGAAUGCCUAAGGAUACUAGAUGUAAGGUUGGGUACAUCACCAGUAACCAGUCUCAUGUAUUUUUUUCGUGAGGUUGUGAAGUCCAAGCUCCACUCCCUAUCUCUUAAUUGUGAGAAUUUUGAUGAUAAAGAGGUUUCCCUACUGGUGGAUUCAUGGGCUGAAGUCACAGCUCCACCAGAAAAUACAUUUGAUCCCCCAAGAGUUGAGCUCGUACUACUUGAUCUUCCUCUCGGGCGAGUUCCACCUAAUAUGGGAUCACUCUCCAGCCUUACCCACUUGCACAUUCAACUCGAGCAAGCAAAAGCAGAAGAUUUCCAUGUCCUCGGGGGCUUGAUUAAUCUAGUCCUACUCAACUUGGUUGCAAACAAUUGUUUCCUAGAAGGAAGCAGGUUCAUCAUCAAGAAGGGUACCUUUCUGCAUCUGAAGGUGUUUUCUUUACUAAUCCGGGAUAGCUGGAUGGGCCUGGAGUUCAAAGAAGGAUCCAUGCCGCAGCUUCAAAGGCUCUGGCGUACUCUUGGAGUGAUAACAGCCCGGGAUCGAUUUGAAUAUCUGGAUGUUGGCACCGAGCACCUCACGUGCACAAUAGUCCAUGUGAUGAUCAAUUGCACAGAUGCUACUUAUUCGCAGGUGGGUGCCGCCGAAGCUGCCAUCAGAGCCAAAAUAUCUGAACCCACGUUAGUAUUGAGCAGAAUCAAUGAAACAGGUAUGAAGGACGAAGGGCAACUUUCAAUACAACAGGAUGAGGGCCACUCACUAGACUGGCACAAAGAUGAUGACGACGAGAUGUUUAAGGCAUGGGAGAAGAUAGGAAAAAGUAGCUUACAAUCAAUACGGAGAAAACGUGUGUUGCCUAGUGUUUUUCUCUAA
rnacentral:rRNA from 1 species